rnacentral:rRNA from 1 species
GACGAACGCUGGCGGCGUGCCUAACACAUGCAAGUCACGGGGGUCCAGUAGCAAUACUGGAUAACCGGCGAACGGGUGCGGAACACGUGAGCAAUCUGCCGAUUUCUGGGGGAUAGCCGGCCCAACGGCCGGGUAAUACCGCGUACUCUCAUUGGGGGACAUCCCCUGGUGAGCAAACCUUCGGGGGAAAUCGAGGAGCUCGCGUCCUAUCAGCUUGUUGGCGGGGUAACGGCCCACCAAGGCUANGACGGGUAGCUGGUCUGAGAGGAUGGCCAGCCACAUUGGGACUGCGACACGGCCCAGACUCCUACGGGAGGCAGCAGGUGGGGAAUAUUGCGCAAUGGACGAAAGUCUGACGCAGCGACGCCGCGUGUGGGAUGAAG